AUCCAUCUCUCUGUGCUGCAAAGUUAAUAUUGCGGGCAUCUGUUGUAAGAGUUGACACUUGACAGGUUGUUCGGAGUUCUGUGCCCGGCUAAAGAAGCUACAGAAUCAGCUUUUAAGGAUGGAAAACAGCUAUUGAUAUGAUGCCAUUGGCCAGCAUGCAGUUCCAGUACCUUAUGGUUGAGGAAAAGUUAUAUAGAGAUCUAUCCAGAUAUGAUGCCACUGCAAAUGCUCAUGUGCAAAAUUUACUCUGUUUCGCAUUGCACUAUCAUCAUUGUCACUCCAUGAGGUACCAGAGUAUUAGUUGAGGAAAGUGGGGUUUGGAACUCUAGCAGAGCAACUGAAGAAAAGUGGUGUUUCAGCUUUAGUUGUAUUCUACAAGAGUUUGGGUGGGUAAAUUUGGCUUUCCUUUCUUGUCCCUGUGAAGCCCCUUCGAUGCCACGUCUUCCAUUAUCUGCCAGCGCAACCUCGGGCUCCCCUCGUUGCCUGUGUCAUUAUUCUACAUGGUGCAGAAUGCCACCGCUGCUCAGGGUCACGCGAGUCAUUCUGGGGUAUGCACAACAGUGCUGGUCAUCGAUGUGCUAUAUCACAGAUCCUCCUCUUGCAUUUGUUAAACUGGCUCACGGUGUCCAUAGCCUUAUUAAACAUGCAGAAAUUACAUAUUGGAAAUUAAUACCUCUGCCUCUUGCCAAAUGAUACAAAGUGGGUAAUUCUUCGACGAUCAUAGUAAUACCAAGUGGCUAUAUGCUUUUUAUCUGUUAAACAUGUUUUAAGAGAAGAUUCAGGUGACGGUUGGAGGACUAGGGAAAGCGGUGCUCAUGAAGGGGACAGCAACAACGAUGGCCAUGGGGAAAGGGAGAGAGGCCAGUUGGAGACAACGACGACGACGGUGGCCGAAUCGGAGCACAUCACCAUCUCCUUCCUCCUGCAUCUUCCCACGUGAGUUCCUUUUUCCAAUAUCUUCCUCCGAUUUGGUUUCUUUUCUUUUUCCCUAUAAGGUUUGGGGUGUAGCCUGUAGAUUCUAACACCGAUGUGGGAGAGAGGCCACACACCUCCGCUGCACGGCUUCGAGCCCUGGCGUUGACUGUGGAGAUCGAAGGCGAGCCUCCAUCUUCGUUUUUCCACCCGCCAAACUGAGGCGGACCUGCAAGCAUGAGCUGCUUCUGCUGAUUCGUACGUGUGAUGUAGGUUCUAGAUGCCUAAUUCGUGGUUAUGAUGUUUCAGGAUGAGGGAGGACUCUACAUAGACCUGCAUUUUUAAGGAUUUUAUUAUUCAUAAUUACUUGAUUACUUUAUGAUUAUGUUCGAAUACUUGUACAUUCCAGUCUUAGUUAGCCUAGAUUAAUUAUUUUCAUGUCUUUCUGUCGGUUUAUCAGGAUUAUUCCACAUGCCUGGAAGCUCCACCAUCGGCUGAUCUUCAAGCUCUGUGCGCUGCAGUCCCCUCAUCUGCUCGUCUACGUCUGCUCGAGUUUCUCCAAUCUUGAUUUCUGAUUUGAGCAUGAAGUGUGGAGAUGGAUCCUGGAAGAUUCAUUGGGUGUCGUCAAUAAUAUCAUCCAGCCAUGUAGUGCAUUGGAAGCUUUGAAGCUUGUCUCUGCCUGCAGCAGAAGUGUGUCAAAUUAUCUCACGUUUGCCAGAAAAACAAUUUGAUCACUUCUUGUAAGCCAUAUGGUCAAAUUUGUUUCCCAACUUUAGCCACUGAAACUAUCUUUGCUGUUGGAGACAAGAUCCAUAUCUGAUUGUGAGCGAAAUAUCGGUUCGUGCUG